rnacentral:rRNA from 1 species
AUUGAACGCUGGCGGCAGGCCUAACACAUGCAAGUCGAACGGUAACAGGAAGCAGCUUGCUGCUUCGCUGACGAGUGGCGGACGGGUGAGUAAUGUCUGGGAAACUGCCUGAUGGAGGGGGAUAACUACUGGAAACGGUAGCUAAUACCGCAUAACGUCGCAAGACCAAAGAGGGGGACCUUAGGGCCUCUUGCCAUCGGAUGUGCCCGGAUGGGAUUAGCUAGUAGGUGGGGUAACGGCUCACCUAGGCGACGAUCCCUAGCUGGUCUGAGAGGAUGACCAGCCACACUGGAACUGAGACACGGUCCAGACUCCUACGGGAGGCAGCAGUGGGGAAUAUUGCACAAUGGGCGCAAGCCUGAUGCAGCCAUGCCGCGUGUAUGAAGAAGGCCUUCGGGUUGUAAAGUACUUUCAGCGGGGAGGAAGGGAGUAAAGUUAAUACCUUUGCUCAUUGACGUUACCCGCAGAAGAAGCACCGGCUAACUCCGUG